AGCGUACACGGUGGAUGCCUAGGCAGUCAGAGGCGAUGAAGGACGUACUAACUUGCGAUAAGCGCAGAUAAGGCAGUAAGAGCCGUUUGAGUCUGCGAUUUCCGAAUGGGGAAACCCAACUGCACAAGCAGUUACUGUUAACUGAAUACAUAGGUUAACAGAGCAAACCGGGGGGAACUGAAACAUCUAAGUACCCCGAGGAGAAGAAAUCAACCGAGAUUCCGGUAGUAGCGGCGAGCGAACCUGGAUUAGCCCUUAAGCACUCGUUGAAGUAGGUGAACAAGCUGGAAAGCUUGGCGAUACAGGGUGAUAGCCCCGUAACCGACGCUUCAUCGAGCGUGAAAUCGAGUAGGGCGGGACACGUGAUAUCCUGUCUGAAUAUGGGGGGACCAUCCUCCAAGGCUAAAUACUCCUGACUGACCGAUAGUGAACCAGUACCGUGAGGGAAAGGCGAAAAGAACCCCUGUGAGGGGAGUGAAAUAGAACCUGAAACCGUGUACGUACAAGCAGUAGGAGCACCUUCGUGGUGUGACUGCGUACCUUUUGUAUAAUGGGUCAGCGACUUAUAUUCAGUGGCAAGGUUAACCGUAUAGGGGAGCCGUAGCGAAAGCGAGUCUUAACUGGGCGCUCAGUCUCUGGAUAUAGACCCGAAACCGGGUGAUCUAGCCAUGGGCAGGUUGAAGGUUGAGUAACAUCAACUGGAGGACCGAACCGACUAAUGUUGAAAAAUUAGCGGAUGACUUGUGGCUAGGGGUGAAAGGCCAAUCAAACUCGGAGAUAGCUGGUUCUCCCCGAAAGCUAUUUAGGUAGCGCCUCGGACGAAUACUACUGGGGGUAGAGCACUGUUAAGGCUAGGGGGUCAUCCCGACUUACCAACCUUUGCAAACUCCGAAUACCAGUAAGUACUAUCCGGGAGACACACGGCGGGUGCUAACGUCCGUCGUGGAGAGGGAAACAACCCAGACCGCCAGCUAAGGUCCCAAAGUAUUGCUAAGUGGGAAACGAUGUGGGAAGGCUCAGACAGCUAGGAUGUUGGCUUAGAAGCAGCCAUCAUUUAAAGAAAGCGUAAUAGCUCACUAGUCGAGUCGGCCUGCGCGGAAGAUGUAACGGGGCUAAGCAAUACACCGAAGCUGCGGCAAUGCCUUUUAGGUAUUGGGUAGGGGAGCGUUCUGUAAGCCGUUGAAGGUGAAUCGUAAGGUUUGCUGGAGGUAUCAGAAGUGCGAAUGCUGACAUGAGUAACGACAAAGGGGGUGAAAAACCUCCUCGCCGGAAGACCAAGGGUUCCUGUCCAACGUUAAUCGGGGCAGGGUGAGUCGACCCCUAAGGUGAGGCCGAAAGGCGUAAUCGAUGGGAAACGGGUUAAUAUUCCCGUACUUCUGACUAUUGCGAUGGGGGGACGGAGAAGGCUAGGUGGGCCAGGCGACGGUUGUCCUGGUUCAAGUGCGUAGGCUUAAGAGUUAGGUAAAUCCGGCUCUUUCUAAGGCUGAGACACGACGUCGAGCUGCUACGGCAGUGAAGUCAUUGAUGCCAUGCUUCCAGGAAAAGCCUCUAAGCUUCAGAUAGUCAGGAAUCGUACCCCAAACCGACACAGGUGGUCGGGUAGAGAAUACCAAGGCGCUUGAGAGAACUCGGGUGAAGGAACUAGGCAAAAUGGUACCGUAACUUCGGGAGAAGGUACGCUCUUGAUGGUGAAGUCCCUUGCGGAUGGAGCUGACGAGAGUCGCAGAUACCAGGUGGCUGCAACUGUUUAUUAAAAAACACAGCACUGUGCAAAAUCGCAAGAUGACGUAUACGGUGUGACGCCUGCCCGGUGCCGGAAGGUUAAUUGAUGGGGUUAGCGCAAGCGAAGCUCUUGAUCGAAGCCCCGGUAAACGGCGGCCGUAACUAUAACGGUCCUAAGGUAGCGAAAUUCCUUGUCGGGUAAGUUCCGACCUGCACGAAUGGCGUAAUGAUGGCCACGCUGUCUCCACCCGAGACUCAGUGAAAUUGAAAUCGCUGUGAAGAUGCAGUGUACCCGCGGCUAGACGGAAAGACCCCGUGAACCUUUACUACAGCUUGGCACUGAACAUUGAACCUACAUGUGUAGGAUAGGUGGGAGGCUAUGAAGACGUGACGCUAGUUGCGUUGGAGCCGUCCUUGAAAUACCACCCUUGUAUGUUUGAUGUUCUAACUUAGACCCGUUAUCCGGGUUGAGGACAGUGCCUGGUGGGUAGUUUGACUGGGGCGGUCUCCUCCCAAAGAGUAACGGAGGAGCACGAAGGUGGGCUAAUCACGGUUGGACAUCGUGAGGUUAGUGCAAUGGCAUAAGCCCGCUUAACUGCGAGAAUGACGGUUCGAGCAGGUGCGAAAGCAGGUCAUAGUGAUCCGGUGGUUCUGUAUGGAAGGGCCAUCGCUCAACGGAUAAAAGGUACUCCGGGGAUAACAGGCUGAUACCGCCCAAGAGUUCAUAUCGACGGCGGUGUUUGGCACCUCGAUGUCGGCUCAUCACAUCCUGGGGCUGAAGUCGGUCCCAAGGGUAUGGCUGUUCGCCAUUUAAAGUGGUACGCGAGCUGGGUUUAGAACGUCGUGAGACAGUUCGGUCCCUAUCUGCCGUGGGCGUGGAAGAUUGAAGGGGGCUGCUCCUAGUACGAGAGGACCGGAGUGGACGAACCUCUGGUGUUCGGGUUGUGUCGCCAGACGCAUUGCCCGGUAGCUAAGUUCGGAAUUGAUAAGCGCUGAAAGCAUCUAAGCGCGAAGCGAGCCCUGAGAUGAGUCUUCCCUGAUACUUUAAGUAUCCUAAAGGGUUGU
rnacentral:rRNA from 1 species